rfam:Sporosarcina newyorkensis 2681 genomic scaffold SCAFFOLD1, whole genome shotgun sequence.
GAGAGAUGAAGUUAACCAAAGAUCGCCGCGUCCUGCGGCAUAGGUUAACUGACCUGCAUCACGUAGG